GACGAACCGUGCGAACGUUGUUCGGAAUAACUGGGCUUAAAGGGUGCGUAGGCGGGUCCGCCAGUCUGUGGUGAAAUCCUCCCGCUCAACGGGAGAACUGCCGUGGAUACUGCGGACCUCGAGGAAGAUAGGGGCGUGCGGAACAGUUGGUGGAGCGGUGAAAUGCGUUGAGAUCAACGGGAACUCCGGUGGCGAAGGCGGCACGCUGGGUCUUUUCUGACGAUGAGGCACGAAAGCUAGGGGAGCAAACGGG
rnacentral:rRNA from 1 species